rnacentral:rRNA from 1 species
AAUCAACGCUGGCGGCGUGCCUCAGACAUGCAAGUCGAACGCGAAAGUCCCCUUCGGGGGACAAGUAGAGUGGCGCACGGGUGAGUAACACGUAGGUAAUCUACCUUCGGAUGGGGAAUAACAACCGGAAACGGUUGCUAAUACCGCAUAAUGCAGCGGCACCUAAUGGUGACAGUUGUUAAAGCGGGGGAUCGAAAGACCCCGCGUCUGAAGAGGAGCCUGCGGCGGAUUAGCUAGNGGUAAGGUAAUGGCUUACCAAGGCGACGAUCCGUAGCCGGCCUGAGAGGGCGGUCGGCCACACUGACACUGACAUACGGGUCAGACUCCUACGGGAGGCAGCAGUCGGGAAUUUUGGGCAAUGGGCGAAAGCCUGACCCAGCAACGCCGCGUGAAGGAUGAAAUCCCUCGGGAUGUAAACUUCGCAAGAACGGGAAGAAUAAGUAGGGGACAACACCCCCUAUGAUGACGGUACCGUUUGUAAGCUCCGGCUAACUCCGUGCCAGCAGCCGCUGUAAC